UGUAAAAUCUUCACAGCAUUGUUAAACCUCAUUAGGUGAUGUGAUUGUACUGUACCUUGAGCUAGCUAUAUAAAUAUAUAGCCUAUGUUCUUCCAGUUAGCUAGCUAGCAGCUAGCAGCUAGCUAUCCUGUGUACGGUUCAUGUAACCUAUAGAGUUUUACAUUUUAUGCCAUAAGAACUUUUUUUCCAUGAAUGUUCUUAAACAACACUUAAUAGACUAAUGUUUUCAUGUGGUUAGCGUAGCUGUCUGUCUGGUUUAGCUAAAGUUAGCAUGGUCAUGUUGUUCACUGUUACAGUAGCUAGCUAGUUAGCAUUAACUAGCUAGCUUUCAGUUUACAGCACAAAUCUCUGUUUUCUUUCACUGUUUUGUGACAUGAAUUAACAGUACGAGUAAUUUGUUGCUUUUAAUUGUGUUUGUUGACGUGUUGUAGGAGAUAUUCAAGACUUCAUUAAAGUCCAGGUGAAACAGCAUUUAGAGAUUAUCUAACUGAGUGAAACAGGACAGACGGGCGGGACGUAACGCUGGGAGGACUUUUGAUUUGAACAUUGAAAAAAGAAACGUCGGGCUCAGAACGGGGACAGUGCAGGUCAGGCUGAGAGCACUGAAAGCAACAGUGAAGGUCAGAGUCCGCCUGUAUGCAGCAGAGACCCUCACGUGUUGAAACUUCCAGGGUCACACAGAACCCAUAAACCUCCCGGUGAAAAUACAGAUAUGAAGAAAAUGAUUUAGAAUGUAGUCAUAUUUACACCACAUAUUAUAUAAUUUGUUGUUUUGCAGGAUUUUACAGUUGUUCAGUGAAUGAAGUGAUUAAAUUACCUACUUUUAAUUAGCAAAUUAAACUGAUGGCAUUGUUCAGCUUUUAUUAGUACACCUUUGUUAAACAUCUGCACUUUAUGCUAUAUCGUAGAGAGUAUCAUUUAAAUUUAGAUGCACCCAGGGAGGAGACCACUGACCCUGCUGAUGACUAUGCAGAAUAGGAUGACAGCAGCAGGAACCUCCCAGUUCAACCAGUGCCUACAUUUGCUGCACCUAAAGGUCCCCGAGACAUUUCUCAAACAGAUCCUGAAUACCUUCCCUUGGACUCAGCAUGGACGGGAUCGGAACAAGGACGAGCAAAGACGGGUCUUCUAUACAGUGUGCAGGAUGUGAUUGUUGCCGUCCUAAAUGGAGAGAGUGAUUUUGAAAUGGAAUCAGACAACACUGAUGUGAGUGAUGAAGAGGCAGAUGAAGAUGCCAGUGAAGUGGACGAAAAAAGCCAACAACCCACUGACUUCCCAGCCAGUGAUUAUCAUCAAGCCCCAACCAAACAAACACACCGUCGUGCCCUGUGACAAGGUAUCACUCGCUGAAAAAUCUCACAUUUCCCAGUGAAGAGGAAGAGGACACUGCGAUAAAGGAUAAACUAACACGCUAUGCAGCAAGUGUGAUGUUCGUCUUUACUUUUCAGAGGAAAACAAGUGCAAAUGAACAUGGAUGAACACUGGGAUGGAGACGAAAUUCAGUUUUGUUAAUACAAUUUUAUCCUGUUUUUUAAUUAAUAAAUAACUAUUCAUUAAAGAUAUGACUUGUGUGAUUAAUAUUCAUGAUAUAUACUGUUAUGGGGCUAAAUAAGUAAUCAACCCUGCAAAUGAACCAAUGACUGGACAGAUUUUCAUGAAAUUCAUAGUGAAUAUUCAUGAUCCCCAGAGGGGGAAACCUAAUGAUUUUAAUGACCCUCUGACCUCUCCUCUAGCGCCACCAUCAGGUCCAAAUAUACAGUAAAUCUUCUGGACAGAAGAGCACCAAAGAUAUCCAAACUGAUCAGAGAGAAGAGGUCUGUGAAACAGACUGUGUUCAUUCAUCUCAUUCAUCAUCCUGCUGCUGAAAGGCUAGCCAACACAUUCCUGCUCACACACACUUACAAGCGUUGGCACAUUGAUUUGUUAUAAAUCAAAAGACGAUGGAGACAAAAACAUGUUCUCUCUCUUGUUACUAUUUGCUGCAGGUCAGCAUGUGUCCAAACACACACACACAUUUCUACUGCUAUUCUUGUGAGGACCCUCAUCGGCAUAAAGUUUCCCUCAUCCAGGGGUGUUUAACAGGUAGACUCCGGUCAGGAAAAACAACGGACCAGGAACAGAUUUUCACUGACGCAGCCCGCUUGAGUGACGCAUCGCUGUGACAACUAAGAGUUGCCACAGUUAACAAGGUUGUCAGAUGUUGGAGCUCAGAUUGAAAAAGUUUCUCACCUCGUGCUGAUUUUGGCCAGUAAAUCUACAUUUGGCCGACGGACUGUGGAGGCAGCUGGGUGGAACGAUGAAGCAACAACUGUCACAGCUGAAUAUGAUUGGCUGAGACACCUGUCAAUCAAUCCAUACACCAGCUACACUCACAGUUUCCCUGUUGAGAAUCAAACACCUCGAUCGCUCCCUCCAGGGUUUCACAGUUUGGGUUUUUUUGUGAUUGUUGCAGCCAUAUAAAUGAUUUUGCAGCAGCUUUUCUCAAAAAUUGUGAUACAAUGUGCAGUGUUUUAUCUGCUCUUUCUGCUGUAAAAUUACAGGAACUGGGAAAAACCACCUGGAAAAAAAACUCCUACCAGUGAAGAGUCAUAUGUAAUGACUUCCUGCAGAUCACAGAAACAUCUAUA